AUUGAACGCUGGCGGCAGGCCUAACACAUGCAAGUCGAGCGGAUGAGAGGAGCUUGCUCCUUGAUUUAGCGGCGGACGGGUGAGUAAUGCCUAGGAAUCUGCCUGGUAGUGGGGGAUAACGUUCCGAAAGGAACGCUAAUACCGCAUACGUCCUACGGGAGAAAGCAGGGGACCUUCGGGCCUUGCGCUAUCAGAUGAGCCUAGGUCGGAUUAGCUAGUUGGUGAGGUAAUGGCUCACCAAGGCGACGAUCCGUAACUGGUCUGAGAGGAUGAUCAGUCACACUGGAACUGAGACAAGGUCCAGACUCCUACGGGAGGCAGCAGUGGGGAAUAUUGGACAAUGGGCGAAAGCCUGAUCCAGCCAUGCCGCGUGUGUGAAGAAGGUCUUCGGAUUGUAAAGCACUUUAAGUUGGGAGGAAGGGCAUUAACCUAAUACGUUAGUGUUUUGACGUUACCGACAGAAUAAGCACCGGCUAACUUCGUGCCAGCCGCCGCCGUAACAC
rnacentral:rRNA from 1 species